AUCUUCUUCCCAGCAGAUGUCUGUACACUGAGCUCUGCUUCAUCCGGACUCAACCUGAAAAAGAUUUCACCAUUGAAGAAGAAUUGAAGCGAAUACAACCACAACCUUGGGAGGAAUGCGGAUGAAAUCGCAGUGGCUUAUGCAAGCUAUCUCAUAUCGGUGUCCACUGUUACGUUUAUCAGGUUCAAGGUGGAGAGAAUAAAAAGUGAUAAAGCAUCGAUCAUUAGCAUUUUGUUGGCCAACGCGUUCAGGAGGACAAACAGGGAAAUGUGUGCAGCCAUCAAUAGAAUGCCCAUAGCUUUUGAAGAUCGCUACGCAGGUUUCAAUUCUGCCAGAAACUUUUGUCUGCGAUGGGAACACUGAAGAGGUUGAUUCCCUUUCGCUUGUGUGGAGAGGGUCAUCGUUCACCUCGAAUGAAGCGGAGGAAUGCGAAGGGGAUCCCAACAUUUUUGA